CUGCCCAGGCUUGAGCCCAUCACCACUGAAAGCCUGCCCUCCAACCAAACGGUCAUGGACCUCUAGCUUUGAGGAACACCGAUCCAACCCCCGCGACCGCUCUGGAAAUUCAAAUGGAUUUAGCGUCAGCUUGACCUCCUCCCAAUUCCAACCUGUCCCCUGUUUUUCACAGCACAACAAAGUUGUAGGGCCCCUCCGGCCGCUGCUGGGCAGACGCUCUCCUCCUGUUUGGAGAGAUGCGCUUCGGUGAGCGGUGACCCAAGCCUAACGCGCUGGUGCGGGGAGCCAAGCGCAGACCGCACGGUCACUCACCCCGGGGGACGCUCUGGCAGACGCUGUGGCCGCCACCUGGGCGCUCGGCCGCUGGCCCCGCGCAGCUCCACCCCCGCCCGUACUUUACCUCUUGAUGUAGUUCCUGCCGUACAGGAUCUGUUGCAGCAAGGUCACCAAGGCGAAGGCGCAGAUGAAGAUGAAGAGCAAAGUUCGGUUCCCCAACAAAUCCCGGGUUUGCCGAGGGGUCCGCGUAACGCAUCCUGGCGGCGGCUCCGGCGCGGCGGGGCGCGGAGGGCACCCGGCGCGGAGGAGCCAGGCGAUCACGCGCGGGGCUCCGAGGCCCCGGGGGGCGCGCGGCCGACCGGGAGUCUCAUGUCACCGUCAGGCGGGCGGGGGACUUGGCGGGAAAGGAAACAAAUGUACAGAACAGUGCCAUGAAUGAUCUCAUGGUAAAGACAUCCAUGGAACCACCACGAAGGAAAAAAGAAAAAGAAACCACCAGCCCAAGAGCUUCCUCCCAACCUCAUGUGUCCUCUUGAAUCCUUUCCUUUUCUCUACUUCUCUUCUCAACUCUGUCCUAGUCCCCCCUUCUCCUCUACUCAUCUCACUUCCCAGGCCUCCCAGGCCCCCCAGCCCGGGGUAUAGUUUGAAGACUCUUGAGCCUCCUGGUGCCCUGGAAACAGUGUGAACUUUGGAACAGACUUAUCAAGAUCUAGACCUCAGCUUCUCUACUCACCAGGCAAGAAACACAACCUCUCCAUUCGCCCCACAAGCACUGUCCUGAGGGGACAGCCCGACGGGUCUCUCCUGCCAUGGCGCCUAGGAUUGCUGGCACUACACUCUUGCUUAUAUUCCUUUACUUGGGCCUUGUAAAGACCUUGUGAGGGAACACCCAUUAUUUCCAAUCCACAGAUGGACACUUUGCUGCCUCAGGGAGCAGAAGUGACCUGCCCUGCAGCCAGAUGAAGACUACACCUGGGCUCUGAGGUGAGGCCAGCCUGGAACCCAGAAGGGAAGUCGGACCUGCGCACAGUCCCAUGGCCAGCCAGACACUCACUUUCCCCGGGGGUGCCUGGUUCUUUAAAAGGUGUACCAUCAUCUUCACCAAUACUUACCUCAGCUCGUCAGAAUGCUUCCUAGACAGACACACAAAUGCCAGCCUUAUGACAUUUGCUAAUAAAAACAAACUCCCUCAGCAGGAUUGGGUUCCAGUGGUCCCUAAUGACUGCUACAGGCAUAAGGGGGAAGAUCAAGUGUGUGGGACUCUCCAGGACGGCAC
ensembl:lincRNA